rnacentral:lncRNA from 1 species
UUGGAUGAAGCACCUGGAAAUAUUUGCAUUAAAUCUAAUUUUGACAAUAUAGUCAAUGGUCAAUAGAUAGAUGCGAAUUCUGAUGUGAAUUGAGUGAAAUUAAAAGGGUUAAGAAGUGAAAAAGGAAAAAAAGUCAUAGAUGCCGCCCUGACUUGCCAAUCGACGUCAGACGGUGUCAUAAUUAGGCGCGUAUCUAGAGACUGGAUCAUGUCCGGACAAAAUCAGACAUUUGAAUUAAUAGAUGCUUCCACGUGCGCACAUCGGAGCUGUUCAUUCUGACCAUAUCUUACCAGUUAGCUCCUCCAGUCCAGAUCUGAUAAUGUGCUGUCUCUCAAUCUUAUCUCAUGGCUCUUCACUCAUGUUCUGGGGAUGUUGCACAAUUUGGGAAUCUGAAAAUAAAAUCUCUUAAGUUGCAACAAAAAAAAUAUUUAAAGAGAAAUUUUAAGAAUCAAUCUUAAGAAUCACAAAAUUAAACUUCUGUCCUAAACCUGUAUUUAAGAAGAAAUCACAGCAAAUUGCAAGAUAAAAAUCAACUGUAUUUAAGGCUUAAUUGCAAAAUGAAAUUGUUUGAUAUUUAAAUUGUUUAAUUGCAAGAUGAACGGUAAGUCUGUAACUUUAAAUAAAAAAAAAUUGUAAUUUGAACGGUUGUUGAUUUUUAAUUUUUAAUUUUUAAUUGUUGCACGGUAAUUGCAAAACUGUUUUAACUAAAUAAUAAUAAUAAAAAAAUUGUAGAUGGCAAAGAAAUACCUGUAUGCAGCUUGCAGCCAAUAGAAGAAGAAAAAAGGGAAAAAAAUAAAGAAAAAGAAGAUACCUGAUGGCGGAAAUCUGCAAUCGCGGAUUGCGGAAGUCGCAAAUGUGUUAUGCAAAACUGAUCGCAAAGGCGAUCUGAUCGGAUAGCAAAAGGAAUCACGGAACGCAGUGGCGAUCUGAUCGAUCUGGAAUCACGGAUGUAAAAUCGCAAUCCGAUCUGGAAAUCACAGCAACGGAUGUCAAAUCUACUCGGGAUGUGAAAUCGGUCACAGCAACAAUGGAUCACACAACGAUCUGUGAAUGUCAAGAAAUCACACAACGGAAGCAACGGAUGUGCAAAAUUUGGAAAUCGUGAGUAGCGACGGGAAUGCGAAUGUCAAGACUGAAAAUCUGAAGCAGGCGGCGAGAAAUCACGGAUGUGUAGCACUCUGGAACAGAUCGAGAAUGGAGCAGCAAGACGCGGAAGAAAUGAAAUCGCAAGAAAGUUGUUUACAUGGAAUAAUCUUACGGAAGAGUAAAAUCUGAUACCAUCUCACAAUAUCUCAACUCUGUAAUUAGUGCAAACUAAUUACUUUCAUUAACCACAUAAGAAUUGUUUGACAAAGUAUUUAUAACAAAG